GUGUCAGCCGCCGCGGUAAUACAGAGGGUGCAAGCGUUAAUCGGAGUUACUGGGCGUAAAGGGCACGUAGGCGGUUAUGUAAGUCAGUUGUGAAAUCCCCGGGCUUAACCUGGGAACUGCAAUUGAUACUGUGUGACUAGAGUCGAAGAGAGGGAAGCGGAAUUUCCGGUGUAGCGGUGAAAUGCGUAGAUAUCGGAAGGAACAUCUGUGGCGAAGGCGGCUUCCUGGCUUCAGACUGACGCUGAGGUGCGAAAGCGUGGGUAGCGAACAGGAUUAGAUACCCUGGUAGUCCACGCUGUAAACGAUGAGUACUAGCUGUUGGAAGGCUAAGACCUUUCAGUAGCGGAGCAAACGCAUUAAGUACUCCGCCUGGGGAAUACGGCCGCAAGGCUAAA
rnacentral:rRNA from 1 species